GCGGCGGACGGGUGAGUAACGCGUGGGUAACCUGCUCAUACACAUGGAUAACAUACCGAAAGGUAUGCUAAUACAGGAUAAUAUAAGAGAUUCACAUGGAUUCUUAUCAAAGCUCCGGCGGUAUGAGAUGGACCCGCGUCUGAUUAGCUAGUUGGUAAGGUAAUGGCUUACCAAGGCGACGAUCAGUAGCCGACCUGAGAGGGUGAUCGGCCACAUUGGAACUGAGACACGGUCCAAACUCCUACGGGAGGCAGCAGUGGGGAAUAUUGCACAAUGGGCGAAAGCCUGAUGCCAGCAACGCCGCGUGAGUGAUGAAGGCCUUCGGGUCGUAAAACUCUGUCCUCAAGGAAGAUAAUGACGGUACUUGAGGAGGAAGCCCCGGCUAACUACGUGCCAGCCGCAGC
rnacentral:rRNA from 1 species